GGUUCUGUAGUGUAGAGGUUAUCACACUGGAUUUUGAUUCGAUUCAAGUCUUCCAGUAACCCCGGUUCGAACCCGGGCAGGACCU